rnacentral:rRNA from 1 species
UGGGGAAUUUUGGACAAUGGGCGCAAGCCUGAUCCAGCAAUGCCGCGUGCAGGAUGAAGGCCUUCGGGUUGUAAACUGCUUUUGUACGGAACGAAAAGCCUCUCUCUAAUACAGGGGGGUGAUGACGGUACCGUAAGAAUAAGCACCGGCUAACUACGUGCCAGCAGCCGCGGUAAUACGUAGGGUGCAAGCGUUAAUCGGAAUUACUGGGCGUAAAGCGUGCGCAGGCGGUUUUGUAAGACAGUGGUGAAAUCCCCGGGCUCAACCUGGGAACUGCCAUUGUGACUGCAAGGCUGGAGUGCGGCAGAGGGGGAUGGAAUUCCGCGUGUAGCAGUGAAAUGCGUAGAUAUGCGGAGGAACACCGAUGGCGAAGGCAAUCCCCUGGGCCUGCACUGACGCUCAUGCACGAAAGCGUGGGGAGCAAACAGGAUUGGAUACCCUGGUAGUCCACGCCCUAAACGAUGUCAACUGGUUGUUGGGGGAUUUAUUUCUUCAGUAACGAAGCUAACGCGUGAAGUUGACCGCCUGGGGGAGUACGGCCGCAAGGUUAAAAACUCAAAGGAAUUGACGGGGUCAUA